rnacentral:lncRNA from 1 species
CUGUGAAGCUCUCUUCAGUCGGAUCAAUGAAACCACUAGAUGGGAUGAAGCCUCUUUUAGGACAGAAGUCAGCUACUUAGAAAUUUAUAAUGAACGUGUGAGAGACCUACUUAGGCGGAAGUCAUCUAAGACCUUCAAUUUAAGAGUCCGUGAGCAUCCCAAAGAAGGACCGUAUGUUGAGGAUUUAUCCAAGCAUUUAGUCCAGAAUUACAGUGAUGUGGAAGAACUUAUGGACGCAGGAAAUAUCAAUCGUACCACUGCAGCGACGGGGAUGAAUGAUGUCAGUAGCAGGUCGCACGCCAUCUUCACCAUCAAGUUCACUCAGGCAAAGUUCGACGCCGAAAUGCCGUGUGAAACUGUGAGCAAGAUCCACCUGGU